UGAAUUAGAUGGAACUGCAUGUCC
rnacentral:piRNA from 2 species